rnacentral:rRNA from 1 species
UACGGGGGGAGCAAGCGUUGUUCGGAUUUACUGGGCGUAAAGGGCGCGUAGGCGGCACCGCAAGUCGACUGUGAAAUCUCCGGGCUUAACCCGGAAAGGUCAGCCGAUACUGCGGGGCUAGAGUGCAGAAGGGGCAACUGGAAUUCUCGGUGUAGCGGUGAAAUGCGUAGAUAUCGAGAGGAACACCUGCGGCGAAGGCGGGUUGCUGGGCUGACACUGACGCUGAUGCGCGAAAGCGUGGGGAGCAAACGGG